AUGCACGCUGGCGGCGUGCCUAAUACAUGCAAGUCGAGCGAACAGACGAGGAGCUUGCUCCUCUGACGUUAGCGGCGGACGGGUUAGUAACACGUGGAUAACCUACCUAUAAGACUGGGAUAACUUCGGGAAACCGGAGCUAAUACCGGAUAAUAUAUUGAACCGCAUGGUUCAAUAGUGAAAGAUGGUUUUGCUGUCACUUCUAGCUGGAUCCGCGCUGCAUUAGCUAGUUGGUAAGGUAAAGGCUUACCAAGGCGACGAUGCGUAGCCGACCUGGAAGGGGGAUCGGCCACACGAGAAGUGAGACGGGGUCCAGAAUCCUGCGGGACGCAGCAGUAGGGAAUGUUCCGCAAUGGGCGAGAGCCUUACGGAGCGAGGCCACGUGAGUGAUAAAGGUCUUCGGAUCGUGAAACUCUGUUAUGAGGGGAAAACGAAUGUGUGAGUAACAAAGCAGGACUUGACGGUACCUGAUCAGAAAGCCACGGCUAACUACGUG
rnacentral:rRNA from 1 species